GUUAACUUUUCUGACAUGCAGGGAUCGAAAUUAAUGGAAGGAAUGCCAAGUUGAAACAGCAAGCAGAAGUGAGAGUUGAUAUUUUAUUUUCCCAUUUAUAAAUCAUUUCUCGCACUGCAUGCACUGGAAUUCAGUCGUAAAUUCUUGCGUUCUCAAGGUCGUUGAGUGAACUGUUUAUGCAGAAAUCUGAAGGCACUGGACAUGGUAUUGAGCCAAGAAAUUCAUCCAAGUUUAUCACCAAUUCUCAUGGCUCUGAGAGUACCGAUGUAUAUCAUUCACCUGAAUUUACAUAUGGUAAUGUUCAUCUAUAACCAAAAUCAAGCCAUUUAUAGAUGUUAUUAGGAGGGCGUGCAGAUACAGUCUAGUCUCACUUUCGCUCCACAAGGAUCAAGAUCAAAUUAAUGCGCAUUCGCGUUCUGUCAAGCGAAGAUAUACUUCCAACCUCUUAGAAACUAAUGNUUUUGACAAUUAUAACAUUUAAUUUGAGAUUUGUCAUACCUUGGUCCUUCAUUUUUCCUCGUACCUUUUUCUCUUCCGCGACCUCUAGUAGAAAACGAACUUUGUCUUCUUUCCUCCUUGUAGAAUGCAAUUCUUCCUCGAUCUUGGCCUCGUCCUCGUCCUCUUCCACUUUGGCUUCUUCUACUAUUGAACCUUCCUUCACCCUCGUUCAAAGUAAGUUUUGUUUGAAGAGUUUGCUCUAAUGGCUCUUCUUUCACUUUCUUCCUUAGUCUUUCCUCAUGAGCUUGUAAAGAUCCCAUGAGUUGAUCGACACUCAUACUAUUUAGAUCUUUAGAUUCCUCAAUGGCUACAACUAUGUAGUCAAAUUUAGAAUCUAAAGACCUAAGUAUCUUCUCAAUUACUCGAGUGUCGUGAAAAAAGGAAACUUGUAUUUCUCAAAUUCAAGACUUUACACACUUUUUGACUUAUUACAAAAUGGAGGGCACUACCCCUUUAUAUAGUGUUUACAAGAAGAUUCUAGUCCACGCAUUUUCUAGAGACACCUGGACCACAUAUCAAGAUAUUUUCCUAGAAUUCUCUAUAUAUUCUUUAUAAAACUACAUAUCUUACUUAGAUAUUUAUAUAGAUUUUUCUAGUAGAUAUUUAUAUAGAUUUUUCUAGAUAAUGCUUCUAGAAAUGCUAUGCAUGUUGGGCAUUUUAAUUGAUUUGGGCCUAUAAGCAAAAUCCUUAAGCUCAUAUUGUUUGAUCCAAAAAUCAAGUUUACUACUCAACAAUUAGUUAACUUUUUUGACAUGCAGGGAUCGAAAUUAAUGGAAGGAAUGCCAAGUUGAAACAGCAAGCAGAAGUGAGAGUUGAUAUUUUAUUUUCCAAUUUAUAAAUCAUUUCUCGCACUGCAUGCACUGGAAUUCAGUCGUAAAUUCUUGCGUUCUCAAGGUCGUUGAGUGAACUGUUUACGCAGAAAUCUGAAGGCACUGGACAUGGUAUUGAGCCAAGAAAUUCAUCCAAGUUUAUCACCAAUUCUCAUGGCUCUGAUAGUACCGAUGUAUAUCAUUCACCUGUCACCUGAAUUUACAUAUGGUAAUGUUCAUCUAUUACCAAAAUCAAGUCAUUUAUAGAUAUUAUUAGGAGGGCGUGCAGAUGCAGUCUAGUCUUACUUUCGUUCCACAAGGAUCAAGAUCAAAUAAAUGCGCAUUCGCGUUCUGUCAAGCGAAGAUAUACUUCUAACCUCUUAGAAACUAAUGAUCCGGAGAGACAAAAACUCUUUAGUUCGUAUUUUUAUGGUAAAAAAAUAAAAAUAAAUAGAUAGGAUUUCUGAUUAUUCAGACGUUAACCGAAAUGUUCAUUAGAUUCAUCUAACCUAAUUCAAAGUUACACUGAAAAGCAUGGUAGUAGUAGGGUGUAGUCUCAUAUCUUUUUGACUGUAUGCUUAUGUUAAUUUUGGCAACUUACCUUUCUCCUACUGAAAUUGUCUAUUUUUCUCAAUAGGAUGUAUUAUAAAUUCUUUUGCAAGGGAGUUGAGUGUUAAGGGCCAAUUAAUGUUGUGGAUUUACGUGACUUCUGACAUUUGCUUUCCGUUUGAAUUUGCUAUUGAUAUCAUACGUAUCCAAGGAAAUUAUAUGAGGUACAUAAAAGUAGAAUUUUGUUUACUUGGCAUGAAAUUGAAGACGAUAAUGUGCUAGUUUUUGAGCAGUGGUGAACUCAAAUUUUAGUACGUUCAGUUGGGUGAUUUUAAAAAAAUAAGAAAUAAAAAA
rnacentral:lncRNA from 1 species